rnacentral:rRNA from 1 species
GUGAGGAAUAUUGCGCAAUGGAGGCAACUCUGACGCAGCCAUGCCGCGUGCAGGAAGAAGGCGCUACGCGUUGUAAACUGCUUUUAACCGGGAAGAAACCCCAGGACGUGUCCUGGGUUGACGGUACCGGAGGAAUAAGCACCGGCUAACUUCGUGCCAGCAGCCGCGGUAAUACGAAGGGUGCAAGCGUUAUCCGGAUUCAUUGGGUUUAAAGGGUGCGUAGGCGGAGCGUUAAGUCAGUGGCGAAAUCCUGCAGCUUAACUGUAGACUUGCCAUUGAUACUGGCGCUCUUGAGUGCGCUUGAAGUGGGCGGAAUGUGCCGUGUAGCGGUGAAAUGCUUAGAUAUGGCACAGAACACCAAUUGCGAAGGCAGCUCACUAAGGCGAUACUGACGCUGAGGCACGAAAGCGUGGGGAUCGAACAGGAUUAGAUACCCGGGUAGUCC